CAACAUAUUGGCUCAAAGCCCUCAAGGAAUACACGUGAGCUGACGACGGGUCGCAGCACGAAGCGCCCGUUUCGCUGGCCGAUCGCAAGGGGCCGUCACCGUCGGUGGGCGCAGUCGCAGUCAAGCCCAUGAAGCAGGUCAUCGCCAUCCCUCAUCACCAAAACGCAGCUGCAAACAUGUUGUACAAACAAGGGCGCGAUGCGUAAAGACACAAAUGGACAAGUGGUGACGAUAUACACAGGGAGCUAGUCAGCUCGGGCAAGUUAUGACCAACAUGGAGA